rnacentral:rRNA from 1 species
AUACGGAGGGGGCUAGCGUUGUUCGGAAUUACUGGGCGUAAAGCGCACGUAGGCGGAUUAAAAAGUUAGAGGUGAAAUCCCAGGGCUUAACCCUGGAACUGCCUUUAAAACUAGUAGUCUAGAGUUCGAGAGAGGUGAGUGGAAUUCCAAGUGUAGAGGUGAAAUUCGUAGAUAUUUGGAGGAACCCCAGUGGCGAAGGCGGCUCACUGGCUCGAUACUGACGCUGAGGUGCGAAAGCGUGGGGAGCAAACAGGAUUAGAAACCCUAGUAGUCC